UACGUAGGGGGCGAGCGUUGUCCGGAUUUAUUGGGCGUAAAGAGCGUGUAGGCGGCCAGGUAGGUCUGCUGUGAAAACUCGAGGCUCAACCUCGAGACGUCGGCGGAAACCAUCUGGCUAGAGUCCGGAAGAGGAGAGUGGAAUUCCUGGUGUAGCGGUGAAAUGCGCAGAUAUCAGGAAGAACACCCGUGGCGAAGGCGGGUCUCUGGGCCGAUAUUGACGCUGAGGAGCGAAAGCGUGGGGAGCAAACAGG
rnacentral:rRNA from 1 species